rnacentral:rRNA from 1 species
UACGUAGGUGGCAAGCGUUGUCCGGAUUUACUGGGCGUAAAGGGCGUGCAGGCGGUUCGUUAAGUCUAGGGUGAAAGCUCCCGGCUCAACUGGGAGAGGUCCUUGGAUACUGGCGGACUUGAGGAGGGUAGAGGAGAGUGGAAUUCCUGGUGUAGCGGUGAAAUGCGCAGAUAUCAGGAGGAACACCAAUGGCGAAGGCAGCUCGCUGGGACGUGACUGACGCUGAGACGCGAAAGCGUGGGGAGCAAACAGG